rnacentral:rRNA from 1 species
GACGAACGCUGGCGGCGUGCCUAAUACAUGCAAGUAGGACGCAGUUGCGAACGGGUGAGUAACGCGUAGGUAACUACCUAUUAGAGGGGGAUAACUAUUGGAAACGAUAGCUAAUACCGCAUACUAGUAGAUGGACCUGCGUUGUAUUAGCUAGUAGGUAGGGUAAUGGCCUACCUAGGCAACGAUACAUAGCCGAACUUGAGGGGUGAUCGGGCAAACUGGGACUGGGAAAAGGCCCAGACUCCUAACGGAGGGAGCAGGUGGGAAUCUUCGGGAAUGGGGGGAACCCUGGACGAGCAACGCCGCGGGAGUGAAGAAGGUUUUCGGGUCGGAAAGCUCUGUUGUUAAGGAAGCGGUACUUAACCAGAAAGGGACGGCUAACUACGUGCCAGCAGCCGCGGUAAUAC